GUCCAGACUCCUACGGGAGGCAGCAGUGGGGCCUCUUGCACAAUGGGGGGCACCCUGAUGCCGCGACGCCGCUUGCGUUAAGAAGUCUUUCGGUAUGUAACGCUCUGUCAGCAGGGCCGCCGAAAGACGGUCCCUGACCAAGCCGCCCCGGCUAACUCCGUGCCAGCAGCCGCGGUAAUACGUAGGUGGCCAGCGUUGUCCGGAUUUACUGGGGGGAACGGGCGUGUAGCCGGGUUGACAAGUCAGAUGUGAAAGCCUGCGGCUUAACCGCAGAACUGCAUUUGAAGCUGUUGAUCUUGAUGACGGGAGAGGCAGACGGAAGUCCUAGUGGAGCGGUGAAAUGCGGAGAGAUUAGGAGGAACACCAGUGGCGAAGGCGGUCUGCUGGACAGCAACUGACGGGGAGGCGCGAAAGCGGGGGGAGCAAACAGGAGGAGAUACCCGAGUAUC
rnacentral:rRNA from 1 species